rnacentral:rRNA from 1 species
GAUGAACGCUGGCGGCGUGCCUAACACAUGCAAGUCGGACGCCCGCUUCGGUGGGAGUGGCGCACGGGUGAGUAACACGUAGCUGACCUGUCCUGGAGGGCGGGACAACCCCGGGAAACCGGGGCUAAACCCGCAUAAGCUCGCGGUCUGUAGAGGACUGGGAGAAAACACGUAAGUGACUUCAGGAGGGGGCUGCGGCCCAUCAGGUAGUUGGUGGGGUAAGAGCCUACCAAGCCGACGACGGGAGGGGGUCUGAGAGGGUGGUCCCCCACACUGGGACUGAGACACGGCCCAGACUCCUACGGGAGGCAGCAGUGAGGAAUAUUGGUCAAUGGGCGANAGCCUGAACCAGCGACGCCGCGUGGGC